UUCGAUUAUAGCUCAGAUUGAACGCUGGCGGGAUGCUUUACACAUGCAAGUCGAACGGCAGCACGGACUUCGGUCUGGUGGCGAGUGGCGAACAGGUGAGUAAUGUAUCCAGACGUGCCUAGUAGCGGGGGAUAACUACGCGAAAGCGUAGCUAAUACCACAUACGCCCUUCGGGGGAAAGCGGGGGGACCUUCGGAGCCUCGCACUAUUAGAGCGGCCGAUAUCGGAUUAGCUAGUUGGGUAGGUAACGGCUCACCAAGGCGACGAUCCGUAGCUGGUUUGAGAGGACGACCAGCCACACUGGGACUGAGACACCAGACUCCUGCGGGAGGCAGCAGUGGGGUGGCGGACAGUAGAGCUGAUCAGCCAUCCCGCGUGUGCGAUGAAGGCCUUCGGGUUGUAAAGCACUUUUGGCAGGAAAGAAACGGCGUGCGGGAUAAUGCCCGUGCAGCAAAGCGUUACCUGCAGGGCUAAAGCACCGGCUAACUACGUGCCAGCAGCCGCGGUAAUACGUAGGGUGCAAGCGUUAAUCGGAAUUACUGGGCGUAAAGCGUGCACCUUUGAGCGGUUCAGGAAGAAAGAUGUGAAAUCCCAGAGCUUAACUUUGGAACUGCAUUUUUAACUACCGAGCUAGAAGAGUGUGUCAGAGGGAGGUGGAAUUCCGCGUGUAGCAGUGAAAUGCGUAGAUAUGCGGAGGAACACCGAUGGCGAGCCAGCCUCCUGGGAUGUACUGACGCUCGCUGCGAAAAGCGUGGGGGCAAACAGGAUUAGAUACCCUGGUAGUCCACGCCUAAACGAUGUCAACUAGCUGUUGGGGCCUUCGGGCGCUUGGUAGCGCAGCUAACGCGUGAAGUUGACCGCCUGGGAGUACGGUCGCAAGGUCAACUCAAAGGAAUUGACGGGGACCCGCACAAGCGGUGGAUGAUGUGGAUUGAAUUCGAUGCAACGCGAAAAACCUUACCUACCCUUGACAUGUCUGGAAUCCCGAAGAGAUUUGGGUGCUCGCAAGAGAACCGGAACACAGGUGCUGCAUGGCUGUCGUCAGCUCGUGUCGUGAGAUGUUGGGUUAAGUCCCGCAACGAGCGCAACCCUUGUCAUUGAGUUUUACGAAAGGGCGCUCUAAUGAGACUGCCGGUGACAAACCAGGAAGGUGGGGAUGACGUCAAGUCCUCAUGGCCCUUAUGGGUAGGACUUCACACGUCAUACAAUGGUCAGGACUGAAGGGUCGCCAACCCCGCGAGGAGCAAUCCCAGAAACCCGAUCGUAGUCCGGAUCGCAGUCUGCAACUCGACUGCGUGAAGUCAGAAUCGCUAAGUAAUCGCGGAUCAGCAUGCUCGCAGUGAAUACGUUCCCGGGUCGCUGGCACACCGCCCCGUCGCACCAUGGGAGUGGGUUUACCAGAAGUAGUUAGCCUAACCGUAAGGAGGCGAUUACCACGGUAGGAUUCAUGACUGGGGUGAAGUCGUAACAAGGUAG
rnacentral:rRNA from 1 species